UGUUGUGUUGUGUCAGAGCCGGCCCAUGGGAGGGAAUCGGUCUGUCAGACACCACCAUGGGUCUGGACAGUAGUGCCAGGUCUCAGACCAGGCGUGGCUGACGCUAAAGGAGGGAUCUGACAGCUGUAGAAGUGAAAAUCAUCCUGCAGUUCGUAGGACGGGAUCGGCUUUCGUCAGGCACCGCACAUGCAAUGUUCGGAGCCAGCUGGAGUUAGCCGGCCAUCAGUGGAGUACAGCGGCGUUAUUAGGCUGAAAGCUAGGAGGUGACACGGGGUGUGCAUGUGACGGACAGGAGGGCAGCUGAUCGCUGCUGCUACCACCUCUGGGCCGGGCAUUUAGACUGAAUACGGCUUGGCUGGGGCGGUGUCAAAGCAAGCUCACAAAGCAGACCCUGACGGUCAGUUCUCAAGUUAAGGCACAUGCAAGAGGUCAGUUCUGGGCGAGCUACAGGUGCCCUGGGCUUUGAUCCCACCACCCUUCUGAUGCAGAAAGGGGAUAUUAAUGCUAGCGUCUCUCUGCUUUGCAUUGAAUUCUACCACCUCUGGAGCUCCUGCACUCUCAGUUCCCGAUUAAACCACCUGCCAAAACCCAGGCCUGCCCUGAAUAAUAACCUACCAUUGCUGCCUGCUCCGUGGGAUAACACCCUCGGCAGUCGCUCCUUGGCUUCCAGAUACAUUUAGUAUGGAGAUCUCUCACUGAACAGCUGAUCUGAACCUGGUUCCACCAUCCGCCUCAGCGCCCACCUCCCAGUACUCUGCCCCAGAGAAACAGCGGUCCCACCGAGCUGCCGCUUAAAAAGAGUCACCCAGGUUCUUGUCUGCUGCCCUCCAGCAGGAGAGGAAACGGCAGCUGCAAGGAAGUCAACCUACCUACAUAACUGACAGGCGUGUGGUGGGGAGAGGCUGCUUCCUCGAGCGCAUCCUGUCUGAGACAGAGCCCAAACGCAGCCAGCCUUCCCCGGCCCUCAGACCGCCCCGGCAGUCUUCCCUCCUUCCAAGGGCACUUGCAGCCUGUUUCAUUUCGGCCCCAGGCUCUGCAGCUCUCCCAGGGAUUCAGCACUGGCAUGAACGGGGCCAGGUCCACAAGAGGCUAGAGCCCCAGCACCGCCCUGCGCUCGGCCUGAAGUGCCAGCCACCAAUCAGGGCAGGAGCUGAGGGAGAGCCACCACCAUCACGACCCCCCCCACACCUCUCAUACGUACACGAGUCAAACCGCGCCUUUCAACGUACACGACUACAUGGAGCGCCCAGCCAACGGCCGCGCUGGAAAUGUGCCCAUGUGCCAAGGGACACGCCCAUCUUCCAUAAACCGGAGCCGAGAUCCGCCGCUACCUGCAGAGACCACAAGCCCCAACGUGCAAAGACGUCCACUCACCGCGUGCAGCCCCGAGGGAGCACUGAAUACCCCAACGGGGAGUUGCUACAGGCUGCAGCUCCGUAUUGAAGCCGCAUUGUAGACUCUCUGGACACUCCCCCAAAUCACACCAACUCCCAGUCCGCUGCCCGUCUGUGCCACACCACAGGACUGUGCCCGGGCUCAGCUGGGUGUCAGGACAUCCACUUCCAGCUUUCCCCAGAUGGAGCUAGCAUGAAGUGCUGGAGGAGCACAAUUUGUCCAUGCCAGGGAGAAAACGCCUCCCGUACUGCUGGCCAUGGACACUAAGGGCCAGAUCUUUAAAGAUGUGGGGUGUCGGGCUCCCAUUGAAAUCAACGCGAGUUAGGCACCUAAAUGGCUUUAAAAGCUGGCCCUAAGUGACCAACUCAAACGAGAGCCGCUCGUUAAAAAGACAGGAGCAAUUGCCUUUAAAAGAGAUCAACUUAAAACAACACUAUGUACACAAAGAUCAGCCCAGCUGAGACGAUACACUGAGAAGAGGGGCUGGCCUGGGGCACUGGCUCUCUGUGGGGGCUCCGGAUGGCAAAUAAACAGCUCAGGGGACUGAUUGGAUACCA
rnacentral:lncRNA from 1 species